AGAAUCAACGCUGGCGGCGUGCCUAACACAUGCAAGUCGAACGAGAAAGUGGAGCAAUCCAUGAGUAAAGUGGCGACCGGGUGAGUAACACGUGACUAACCUACCUUCGAGUGGGGGAUAACAUCGGGAAACCGAUGCUAAUACCGCAUAACAUCGCAAGAUCAAAGCAGCAAUGCGCUGGGAAGAGGGGGUCGCGGCUGAUUAGCUAGUUGGCGGGUAACGGCCCACCAAGGCGAAGAUCGGUAGCCGGCCUGAGAGGGCGCACGGCCACACUGGAACUGAAACACGGUCCAGACUCCUACGGGAGGCAGCAGUGGGGAAUUUUGCGCAAUGGGGGAAACCCUGACGCAGCAACGCCGCGUGGAGGAUGAAGCCCCUUGGGUGUAAACUCCUUUCGACCAAGACGAUAAUGACGGUACUGGUGGAAGAAGCACCGGCUAACUCUGCGCCAGCAGCCGC
rnacentral:rRNA from 1 species